rnacentral:rRNA from 1 species
CCUACGGGGGGCAGCAGUGAGGAAUAUUGGUCAAUGGACGAGAGUCUGAACCAGCCAAGUAGCGUGAAGGAUGACUCCCCUAUGGGUUGUAAACUUCUUUUAUAUGGGAAUAAAACGUUCCACGUGUGGGAUUUUGUAUGUACCAUAUGAAUAAGGAUCGGCUAACUCCGUGCCAGCAGCCGCUGUAAUACGGAGGAUCCGAGCGUUAUCCGGAUUUAUUGGGUUUAAAGGGAGCGUAGGUGGAUUGUUAAGUCAGUUGUGAAAGUUUGCGGCUCAACCGUAAAAUUGCAGUUGAAACUGGCAGUCUUGAGUACAGUAGAGGUGGGCGGAAUUCGUGGUGUAGCGGUGAAAUGCUUAGAUAUCACGAAGAACUCCGAUUGCGAAGGCAGUUCACUGGACUGCAACUGACACUGAGGCUCGAAAGUGUGGGUAUCAAACAGGAUUAGAUACCCGAGUAGUC